rnacentral:rRNA from 1 species
UACGUAGGCACCAAGCGUUGUCCGGAUUUAUUGGGCGUAAAGAGCUCGUAGGCGGUGUGUCGCGUCGGCCGUGAAAACCUGCAGCUUAACUGUGGGCUUGCGGUCGAUACGGGCAUCACUGGAGUUCGGCAGGGGAGACUGGAAUUCCUGGUGUAGCGGUGAAAUGCGCAGAUAUCAGGAGGAACACCGGUGGCGAAGGCAGGUCUCUGGGCCGAUACUGACGCUGAGGAGCAAAAGCGUGGGGAGCGAACAGG